rnacentral:rRNA from 1 species
UCCGUAGGGUAACCUGCGGAGGGAUCAUUACCGAGUUUACAACUCCCAAACCCAAUGUGAACGUUACCAAACUGUUGCCUCGGCGGGAUCUCUGCCCCGGGUGCGUCGCAGCCCCGGACCAAGGCGCCCGCCGGAGGACCAACCAAAACUCUUAUUGUAUACCCCCUCGCGGGUUUUUUUAUAAUCUGAGCCUUCUCGGCGCCUCUCGUAGGCGUUUCGAAAAUGAAUCAAAACUUUCAACAACGGAUCUCUUGGUUCUGGCAUCGAUGAAGAACGCAGCGAAAUGCGAUAAGUAAUGUGAAUUGCAGAAUUCAGUGAAUCAUCGAAUCUUUGAACGCACAUUGCGCCCGCCAGUAUUCUGGCGGGCAUGCCUGUCCGAGCGUCAUUUCAACCCUCGAACCCCUCCGGGGGGUCGGCGUUGGGGAUCGGCCCUGCCUCUUGGCGGUGGCCGUCUCCGAAAUACAGUGGCGGUCUCGCCGCAGCCUCUCCUGCGCAGUAGUUUGCACACUCGCAUCGGGAGCGCGGCGCGUCCACAGCCGUUAAACACCCAACUUCUGAAAUGUUGACCUCGGAUCAGGUAGGAAUACCCGCUGAACUUAAGCAUAUCAAUAAGCCGGAGGAAA